GGAGACGUGGAUUAAUUGAUAUUACACGUCGGUGUAUCGACUUAAUGGAAAUUAUCAAACGGAAUUUGACAUGCGAGUGAGUGGUGAAUGGCCUGAGUAGAAGACGACGGAGAGUGCAAUAAGGGUACUAGCACGGAACGUGGGUGCGAAGCGUUGACUAUAUGAAUAUGCCACCACUGAUCGAAAGGGAAUCCGGUUAAUAUUCCGGAACCGAGACAUGGAGAAUCGCCAGUCGUUAGCGGCGAGACAAAGUGCGGUGACGCAAGCGCACUCAAUGAAUGGCCGGCGAUAGUUCCGGGAAGAGUUUUCUUUUCUUUUCAACGGUCGGACACCCUAGAAACGGUUCAUUCGGAGAUAGGGUCGUUGUUCCCGCAAAGCGUCACGUCUGCCGAGGCGUACGGAACGCUGUCGUCGGUUCAUAAAAAUUUGAGGAAGGCAAAAAUUCUCAUGCUCGGUCGUACUCAUAUCCACAGCAGGUCUCCAAGGUGCAUUGCCUCU
rnacentral:ncRNA from 1 species